UAAUACGUAGGGUGCAGGCGUUAAUCGGAAUUACUGGGCGUAAAGCGUGCGCAGGCGGUUUGCUAAGACAGGUGUGAAAUCCCCGGGCUUAACCUGGGAACUGCGCUUGUAACUGGCAAGCUAGAGUGUGGCAGAGGGGGGUGGAAUUCCACGUGUAGCAGUGAAAUGCGUAGAGAUGUGGAGGAACACCGAUGGCGAAGGCAGCCCCCUGGGCUAACACUGACGCUCAUGCACGAAAGCGUGGGGAGCAAACAGGAUUAGAUACCCUGGUAGUCCACGCCCUAAACUAUGUCAACUGGUUGUCGGGGAAGCAAUUCCUUGGUAACGAAGCUAACGCGUGAAGUUGACCGCCUGGGGAGUACGGCCGCAAGGUUA
rnacentral:rRNA from 1 species